GCAAGAACGGUGAAAAGGAUCAGUAGUGGAUAAAGGCGUCUAGAGAGUUGACGGAAGGUGAAAGUCAAUCGUUGUUUAUUCACGAACUCCCCUUUGAGUUGCGGGUGUGAAAUGUAUUCCGGUACAGACUAAUGCCCGACGUGUUUCCACGUUACGGAACAGAGUGAGUGCAUUUGCGCUAAUUUGGGUGGUACCGCGGGAAAUUGUCUCUCGUCCCUUCG
rnacentral:ncRNA from 1 species